rnacentral:rRNA from 1 species
AGAGUUUGAUCAUGGCUCAGAGCGAACGCUGGCGGCAGGCUUAACACAUGCAAGUCGAGCGGGCGUAGCAAUACGUCAGCGGCAGACGGGUGAGUAACGCGUGGGAACGUACCUUUUGGUUCGGAACAACACAGGGAAACUUGUGCUAAUACCGGAUAAGCCCUUACGGGGAAAGAUUUAUCGCCGAAAGAUCGGCCCGCGUCUGAUUAGCUAGUUGGUGAGGUAAUGGCUCACCAAGGCGACGAUCAGUAGCUGGUCUGAGAGGAUGAUCAGCCACAUUGGGACUGAGACACGGCCCAAACUCCUACGGGAGGCAGCAGUGGGGAAUAUUGGACAAUGGGCGCAAGCCUGAUCCAGCCAUGCCGCGUGAGUGAUGAAGGCCCUAGGGUUGUAAAGCUCUUUUGUGCGGGAAGAUAAUGACGGUACCGCAAGAAUAAGCCCCGGCUAACUUCGUGCCAGCAGCCGCGGUAAUACGAAGGGGGCUAGCGUUGCUCGGAAUCACUGGGCGUAAAGGGUGCGUAGGCGGGUCUUUAAGUCAGGGGUGAAAUCCUGGAGCUCAACUCCAGAACUGCCUUUGAUACUGAGGAUCUUGAGUUCGGGAGAGGUGAGUGGAACUGCGAGUGUAGAGGUGAAAUUCGUAGAUAUUCGCAAGAACACCAGUGGCGAAGGCGGCUCACUGGCCCGAUACUGACGCUGAGGCACGAAAGCGUGGGGAGCAAACAGGAUUAGAUACCCUAGUAGUCC